CCUGGAAACAGGUGCACCGCUUGCGGUCGGCUUACAGGUGGUGCAUGGUUGUCGUCAGCUCGUGUCGUGAGAUGUUGGGUUAAGUCCCGCAACGAGCGCAACCCUCGUUCUAUGUUGCCAGCGCGUGAUGGCGGGGACUCAUAGGAGACUGCCGGGGUCAACUCGGAGGAAGGUGGGGACGACGUCAAAUCAUCAUGCCCCUUAUGUCUUGGGCUUCACGCAUGCUACAAUGGCCGGCACAAAGGGUUGCAAUACUGUGAGGUGGAGCUAAUCCCAAAAAGCCGGUCUCAGUUCGGAUUGGGGUCUGCAACUCGACCCCAUGAAGUCGGAGUCGCUAGUAAUCGCAGAUCAGCAACGCUGCGGUGAAUACGUUCCCGGGUCUUGUACACACCGCCCGU
rnacentral:rRNA from 1 species